AUUGAACGCUGGCGGCAGGCCUAACACAUGCAAGUCGAACGAGUGGCGGACGGGUGAGUAAUGUCUGGGAAACUGCCCGAUGGAGGGGGAUAACUACUGGAAACGGUAGCUAAUACCGCAUACCAUCGGAUGUGCCCAGAUGGGAUUAGCUAGUAGGUGGGGUAACGGCUCACCUAGGCGCCGAUCCCUAGCUGGUCUGAGAGGAUGACCGGCCCCACUGGAACUGAGAAACGGUCCAGACCCCUACGGGAGGCAGCGGUGGGGAAUAUUGCACAAUGGGGGCAAGCCUGAUGCAGCCAUGCCGCGUGAAUGAAGAAGGCCUUCGGGUUGUAAAGUACUUUCAGCGAGGAUGCGUUACUCGCAGAAGAAGCACCGGCUAACUCCGUGCCAGCAGCCGCGGUAAUUC
rnacentral:rRNA from 1 species